UACGUAGGGUGCAAGCAUUAUCCGGAGUGACUGGGCGUAAAGAGUUGCGUAGGUGGUUUGUUAAGCGAAUAGUGAAAUCUGACGGCUCAACCGUACAGACUAUUAUUCGAACUGGCAAACUCGAGAAUGGUAGAGGUAACUGGAAUUUCUUGUGUAGGAGUGAAAUCCGUAGAUAUAAGAAGGAACACCAAUGGCGUAGGCAGGUUACUGGACCAUUUCUGACACUGAGGCACGAAAGCGUGGGGAGCGAACCGG
rnacentral:rRNA from 1 species